CGCAUGAUAUUCCAGUGCUGAAUGCAUGAUAUCUGUCCAUUGACAUUUCAGUUACCUCAUGUAUACAAUAUCUGCAAAGCUACUGUUGUAACUUUGAAUUGACCUUUUAUUGUCGAUCUUGUCAGAUCAGUUAUAUAGUUGUUUGCCUCCUGUGGUCCAGCAUCCCUGGGCAUAUUUGGAUGCAAAGUUGCAAACCUUGAUUUUAGUGGUG
rnacentral:lncRNA from 1 species